UGUCUUCCUGGUACUACACAUGAAGAUGUCCCGCUCUCCCCUGCUCAAGGAGAGAGUGCCUGACCUGAGCUGGGCCCAUCAGAUCCAGUACUUACCUGGAAUACGAAAAAGAUGGAGAGAGUGACCAAAGAUUACAAAAAUCUCUGAAGCUUAUCUACUUGAGAGAGAGUCCCUGAAGAUACUGGCCUCUCAUUCCUGCUAUGUAUAUCCAAUGUGACUGAACUCUGAAUAAAAUAUACAAGUUAUAACAAUGUAGCAAUUGACCCAGCAAACGAGGACACAAACGUGUUGGAGGGAUUUGAGUUUGAUGUCUUGCAUACAAUGUGAUCCCACUGUAUGACUACACAAAUGUUGGCAAAAGUGAGUUCAGAGGAAAUGGUAGGCAAGUACUUCCCAGUUUUGGCCAGAAGAUGGAGAAAAAAGAAUUCUCAAAAAAUGUUAAAGGAUUUCCUUUUUAUCACUGGUUUUGAUGGAUUUGAUUAAGGCGUUCCUUGGUGAAGUUUUCUUCAUGUUUCUUGUUCUUAGAAUAAUCAUAUUUCUGUAAUAUUUGAAGUUUAUGGUUUCCAUGGAGCUUCUAAAUCUUUCAUCCAGUAUGUUUUAAAUAUCUUUGUCUCUCUUCUCCACUACACGCCCUUCAGGGAUUCCAUUUAGCCCUA
rnacentral:lncRNA from 10 species